GUCUAAACAAGGGAUUGGUUCUAUUCGGACAAAUCCCGAGUUUAUUCUUUUCUAACAAACCUAUUUUGUCUGUUUUUUCCACAAAAACAACAAAACAAAAACUAAAAUUUUCAACGAUGGAUAUCUUGGUUCCCAUAACGAUGAAGAGCGCAGCAAAGUGCGAUAAGCAAUGCGAAUUGCAGAAUUCCGCGAAUCAUCAGAUCCUUGAACGCAACUGGCGCUAGAGGGCUCUCCUUCUAGCAUGUCUGUUUCAGUGUCUGAAAAUCUCAUACUAUCUCAAUGUAGUUGAUCUUUCCUUUUCUAAAAAGAAAAGAUCUCCUAUUAAAGAUGCGCCUGCGGGUCUUGGGACCCCUCCUCGGAUUGGUCACUGUCUUCAGUGAUUUCGAGAGGGUUUAGUUCCUUCACUCUUUCCUUUUUUUCGG
rnacentral:misc_RNA from 1 species